AAUCAACGCUGGCGGCGUGCCUCAGACAUGCAAGUCGAACGCGAAAGUCCCCUUCGGGGGACAAGUAGAGUGGCGCACGGGUGAGUAACACGUAGGUAAUCCACCUUCGGAUGGGGAAUAACAACCGGAAACGGUUGCUAAUACCGCAUAAUGCAGCGGCACCUAAUGGUGACAGUUGUUAAAGCGGGGGAUCGAAAGACCUCGCGUCUGAAGAGGAGCCUGCGGCGGAUUAGCAGUUGGUAAGGUAACGGCUUACCAAGGCGACGAUCCGUAGCCGGCCUGAGAGGGCGGUCGGCCACACUGACACUGACAUACGGGUCAGACUCCUACGGGAGGCAGCAGUCGGGAAUUUUGGGCAAUGGGCGAAAGCCUGACCCAGCAACGCCGCGUGAAGGAU
rnacentral:rRNA from 1 species